AUGGAUUCUUUCUUCUGUCUAAUGGGCCUUCGUAACUUCAUAUCAAUACUAUGGGACCCAAAAGGAAUCUUGCCCUCAAGCAGUCUUUUUGUUCCUUCUUUCAGUGUCAUUGUAUUUUCCUUCCAUGGGUUCCAUCAAGACCAACGGUUGAUUAGUAGGAAGAUGUCGGAAAUUUGUCUGCAUGUUGUUGCCGUAAUAUGGAGAACUAAAUCACCUUCCUUGAAGAGAAUCAUUUAA